rnacentral:rRNA from 1 species
AUACGUAGGGGGCAAGCGUUGUCCGGAAUUACUGGGCGUAAAGAGCUCGUAGGCGGCUCAGCAAGUCGGUCGUGAAAGCCCGAGGCUCAACCUCGGAACUGCGGUCGAUACUGCUGUGGCUAGAGUCCGGUAGAGGAGAGUGGAAUUCCCGGUGUAGCGGUGGAAUGCGCAGAUAUCGGGAGGAACACCAGUGGCGAAGGCGGCUCUCUGGGCCGGUACUGACGCUGAGGAGCGAAAGCGUGGGGGGCAAACAGGAUUAGAAACCCUAGUAGUCC